GUGGGUGGGGGCUUGCCCCCGAUAGCUGAGUGUCAGUCAGCACAUCUGAUUCUGAUACACCGCAAUCGGGGGCAAGCCCCCUCCCAC
rnacentral:misc_RNA from 1 species